rnacentral:rRNA from 1 species
UAAUACGAAGGACCCGAGCGUUAUCCGGAUUUAUUGGGUUUAAAGGGUGCGUAGGCGUCCUGGAAAGUUACGGUUGAAAUCUCCUUGCUCAACAAGGAAACUGGCCGUAAAACUAUCAGGAUUGAGUACAUUUGAAGCGGGCGGAAUGUGUCAUGUAGCGGUGAAAUGCUUAGAUAUGACACAGAACACCAAUUGCGAAGGCAGCUCGCUAAACUGUAACUGACGCUGAGGCACGAAAGCGUGGGGAUCAAACAGGAUUAGAUACCCUGGUAGUCCACGCCCUAAACGAUGAUUACUCGAUGUGUGCGAUACACUGUACGCGUCUGAGCGAAAGCAUUAAGUAAUCCACCUGGGGAGUACGAUCGCAAGAUUG